rnacentral:rRNA from 1 species
AAGCGGUGGAGCAUGUGGUUUAAUUCGAAGCAACGCGAAGAACUUACCAGGUCUUGACAUCCCUCUGACCGGUACUUAAUGGUACUUUCUCUUCGGAGCAGGGGAGACAGGUGGUGCAUGGUUGUCGUCAGCUCGUGUCGUGAGAUGUUGGGUUAAGUCCCGCAACGAGCGCAACCCUUAUCUUUAGUAGCCAGCAGUUCGGCUGGGCACUCUAGAGAGACUGCCGGGGAUAACCCGGAGGAAGUGGGGAUGACGUCAAAUCAUCAUGCCCCUUAUGAUUUGGGCUACACACGUGCUACAAUGGCGUAAACAAAGAGACGCAACCCUGUGAAGGCAAGCAAAUCUCAAAAAUAACGUCUCAGUUCGGAUUGUAGUCUGCAACUCGACUACAUGAAGCUGGAAUCGCUAGUAAUCGCGAAUCAGAAUGUCGCGGUGAAUACGUUCCCGGGUCUU